UGCAUAAGGUCAGUGCAUGGUUGUUGCCUC
rnacentral:piRNA from 1 species